AACGAACGCUGGCGGCAGGCUUAGCACAUGCAAGUCGAACGCAUCCUUCGGGGUGAGUGGCAGACGGGUGAGUAACGCGUGGGAACGUGCCCUUCAGUUCGGGAUAACCCAGGGAAACUUGGGCUAAUACCGGAUACGUGCGAGAGCAGAAAGAUUUAUCGCUGAAGGAUCGGCCCGCGCCUGAUUAGCUAGUUGGGGAGGUAAUGGCUCACCAAGGCGGCGAUCAGUAGCUGGUCUGAGGGGAUGAUCAGCCACAUUGGGACUGAGACACGGCCCAAACUCCUACGGGAGGCAGCAGUGGGGAAUAUUGGACAAUGGGCGCAAGCCUGAUCCAGCCGUGCCGCGUGAGUGAUGAAGGCCUUAGGGUUGUAAAGCUCUUUCGUCCGGGACGAUAAUGACGGUACCGGAAGAAGAAGCCCCGGCUAACUUCGUGCCAGCCGCCGCCGUAA
rnacentral:rRNA from 1 species